GACGAACGCUGGCGGCGUGCUUAACACAUGCAAGUCGAACGGUAAGGCCCUUCGGGGUACACGAGUGGCGAACGGGUGAGUAACACGUGGGUGAUCUGCCCUGCACUUCGGGAUAAGCCUGGGAAACUGGGUCUAAUACCGGAUAGGACUCCUGGCUUCAUGGUUGGGGGUGGAAAGCUUUUGCGGUGUGGGAUGGGCCCGCGGCCUAUCAGCUUGUUGGUGGGGUAAUGGCCUACCAAGGCGACGACGGGUAGCCGGCCUGAGAGGGUGACCGGUCACACUGGGACUGAGAUACGGCGCAGACUCCUACGGGAGGCAGCAGUGGGGAAUAUGGCACAAUGGGCGCAAGCCUGAUGCAGCGACGCCGCGUGAGGGAUGACGGCCUUCGGGUUGUAAACCUCUUUCAGCUAUGACGAAGCGCAAGUGACGGUAGUAGCAGAAGAAGGACCGGCCAACUACGUGCCAGCCGCCGCGGUAA
rnacentral:rRNA from 1 species